rnacentral:rRNA from 1 species
UACGAAGGGGGCUAGCGUUGCUCGGAAUCACUGGGCGUAAAGCGCACGUAGGCGGCUUUUUAAGUCAGGGGUGAAAUCCUGGAGCUCAAUUCCAGAACUGCCUUUGAUACUGAGAAGCUUGAGUCCGGGAGAGGUGAGUGGAACUGCGAGUGUAGAGGUGAAAUUCGUAGAUAUCGGGAGGAACACCAGUGGCGAAGGCGGCGACCUGGACGGACACUGACGCUGAGACGCGAAAGCGUGGGGAGCAAACAGG